rnacentral:rRNA from 1 species
AUACGUAGGUGGCAAGCGUUAUCCGGAUUUACUGGGUGUAAAGGGCGCGUAGGCGGGGAUGCAAGUCAGAUGUGAAAUCUAUGGGCUUAACCCAUAAACUGCAUUUGAAACUGUAUCUCUUGAGUGCUGGAGAGGUAGACGGAAUUCCUUGUGUAGCGGUGAAAUGCGUAGAUAUAAGGAAGAACACCAGUGGCGAAGGCGGUCUACUGGACAGUAACUGACGCUGAGGCGCGAAAGCGUGGGGAGCAAACAGGAUUAGAUACCCUGGUAGUCCACGCUGUAAACGAUGAAUACUAGGUGUAGUGGGUAUCGACUCCCUCUGUGCCGCAGGUAACACAAUAAGUAUUCCGCCUGGGGAGUACGGCCGCAAGGUUGAAACUUAAAGGAAUUGACGGGG